ACCGGAGCUAAUACCGGAUAACAUUUGGAACCGCAUGGUUCUAAAGUGAAAGAUGGUUUUGCUAUCACUUAUAGAUGGACCCGCGCCGUAUUAGCUAGUUGGUAAGGUAACGGCUUACCAAGGCGACGAUACGUAGCCGACCUGAGAGGGUGAUCGGCCACACUGGAACUGAGACACGGUCCAGACUCCUACGGGAGGCAGCAGUAGGGAAUCUUCCGCAAUGGGCGAAAGCCUGACGGAGCAACGCCGCGUGAGUGAUGAAGGGUUUCGGCUCGUAAAACUCUGUUAUUAGGGAAGAACAAAUGUGUAAGUAACUGUGCACGUCUUGACGGUACCUAAUCAGAAAGCCACGGCUAACUACGUGCCAGCAGCCGCGGUAAUACGUAGGUGGCAAGCGUUAUCCGGAAUUAUUGGGCGUAAAGCGCGC
rnacentral:rRNA from 1 species